AAGGAUGUGAGAUUUCUAAGACAACUAGGAUGUUGGCUUAGAAGCAGCCAUUCAUUAAAAGAGUGCGUAAUAGCUCACUAGUCGAGAGAUCUUGCGCCGAAAAUGUAACGGGGCUAAACUUACCACCGAAGCUACGGGCUUGAACUAAGUUCAAGCGGUAGGAGAGCGUCGUAACCGGGCUGAAGUCGUACCGUAAGGAGCGGUGGACUGGUUACGAGUGAGAAUGUUGGCAUCAGUAGCGAGAUGUGGGUGAGAAUCCCACAGGCCGAAAACCUAAGGUUUCCUCAGGAAGGUUCGUCCGCUGAGGGUUAGUCGGGACCUAAGCCGAGGCCGAAAGGCGUAGGUGAUGGACAACUGGUUGAUAUUCCAGUACCACUACCAUCGUUAUUAUCGAUGGCGUGACGCAGGAGGAUAGUGUGUGCUAGCUAUUGGAUGCUAGUCUAAGCGUUUAGGCAGUGAGAGUAGGCAAAUCCGCUCUCAUAAUGCUGAGGCGUGAUGGG
rnacentral:rRNA from 1 species